UCGCGCUAUUGGAGCGGCCGAUGUCGGAUUAGCUAGUUGGUGAGGUAAAGGCUCACCGAGGCUACGAUCCGUAGCUGGUCUGAGAGGACGACCAGCCACACUGGGACUGAGACACGGCCCAGACUCCUACGGGAGGCAGCAGUGGGGAAUUUUGGACAAUGGGCGAAAGCCUGAUCCAGCCAUGCCGCGUGUGUGAAGAAGGCCUUCGGGUUGUAAAGCUCUUUUGUCAGGGAAGAAACGGUGGUUUCUAAUACAGAUCACUAAUGACGGUACCUGAAGAAUAAGCACCGGCUAACUACGUGCCAGCAGCCGCGGUAAUACGUGGGGUGCAAACGUUAAUCGGAAUUACUGGGCGUAAAGCGUGCGCAGGCGGUUCCGCAAGUCAGAUGUGAAAUCCCCC
rnacentral:rRNA from 1 species